UCCGGGUCAGGCAUCGUUAAACGCCGCUUUGUUCCCGGAGGUCGGAACUUGAGGGGGCCUAACAGAAAGUGGUAGGGGCGUGUCCGAGAGACCGUGUGCACCGCCUUUACAAGGCUGGGUCAGACGUUCCUUCUUGAAAUGAGCCGGUUCGGAAUGUUGGGCUGGAAGGGGAAAGCGAUAGAUUGCCUUUACGUUUUCUGACGGCGAUGGUUUGUUUCCCAAGCACUCAGGAGCUCAAGUAUCGCAAUGAAGGGCAGUCUAGUGUCCGCUACGGGGGCCGAGGUCAAGGCACGGAUACUCUCUCCAGUGCCAGCCUGGACUGUCGUCUCCAAGAGCGAAUUGUAGGAUGGUCAUCAGUGUGUAUAUGUGUUAACUCCUCUUGCAUUUUUCCUGUUCAUGUUUUACUUUUCGGCGGUGGCUAAGGCUCGCAUUUAACGAAGAUGUGGUAAGCGGACUCGAAAGCAAACAGAGUGAUUUGCCAAAAUCUGCUUUCCUGCCCUUUAUCGUCCAUUUAAUUUACCUACUUUUCAGCGACUUUCUUCCACACACAGUUUUCCGCCCAUUCCCACUUAUUGCUUGUUACCCAGCUACUUUUUUAAAGAGGUUGAGCCAUUCCAUGUUCCAACUUAGCACAGCCAAGAAAAAUCUUCAGAGCCCCGUCGCCGGUAGCCCAAACUUCUGAUAGUGGCUUAGUGCAAGAAAUACUGACAUUUAUUGGUAUAAUGCUUUCGCAUUUUUCAAAAGAUCUUUUCAUAGCUCAUCAGAGGAAUAUAUAUGAGAAUAAAACAACUAAGACAGGGCUGGGGAUGCACGGGCUGAAAGCUCAACCUGAGAACUCUCACUACCUAACUAGCUGAGGAAGGGCUUUCACGUGGUUUUUUAACUGUACAGAGAACUGACCUACUGAAAAAUCUUCUAAUUUAUUAUUUUUUAAAAAUAGUAAAAUACGGAAGCCCUUAACAAAGUUAAGUCAUCCAAUCAACAUUAUUGAGGUUAAGUAUAAAAUUCUUAUAAAAUGAAUUUGUAUUGACUCUAUUGACUCUAUUCAUUUCUUUGCUCUACAUAUAAAGGGAAAGUGAAGUAGAAGAAUGAGCUGACUCUCCAGAUAGUAUAAAGCCAAAAUAGGUUUCACUACUUAGAAAUUUCAAAUUAACUCAAAUUUUCUUUCGCUUUGAAUGUGUAUUAAAGCCACACUACUUUAUAAAAUUGUUUUGCUUUAAAAUGGUGAUUGGUACCCAAUUUUAAAAAUUCUCAUCCGAGUAUAGAACUGGACUGAUUAGGUUGACUGUAUCUCUUUUAGGAACAGUUAUUUCCCAAGUCUAAACUCAACUUUGAAUAUUUUUUAAAGCAUAGAAAUGGUGGGAGCUAUUCGAACUCAAAUCUCAGCUGAAUUCUCAAGUCAUUUCAAGAAUGUACUUUUAUUAUUUAUAAAAGGUGCAAAGAUGUAAUAUGCAAUAAACUUAGAGACCAGCGGAAAGAAUCCAGCCAGAAAUUAUUUUACCUUGGAUGUGUGAGCAAGUUAAAAAAUACAAGAGUACCCUUACUCCUACUGUAUUACACCAAUGAAAAAACAGUAACUUUUCUCUAAUGAUACAUUGGUGAUCUCUUUAUUAAUUCAAAACAUUUUUAAGAAGUCAGUGUAAUGCAUGUGCAUUUUACAAUAAUAUCUAUAGAUUUCCACAAUAUAGUCAAAUGAAAACAGCUGUAGUUUGACUUACUUUGAAAACUCAAAUAGAUAUACUUAGUUUGAGAUUUUUGAAUUUUCUUACAUUACUGUCAUGCUCAAAUUCCAUUACAAGUUGAAAAUUCUAGCAUUUUCAGGAAGUCUGUUAGUGUACAUAAGUAAAUAAUAAAAUAGGGGGCAUAAAAAUCCAAAACAAUUUAAGUGGAAGAAAAAUAAUCUGGAUUAUCUAUUCAACUUGUAAGUACCUACAGAUAUUCUGGCAUUUCAGAAUAACCAAAGAUGGUGUCUCAAGUUGUAUUCAUGCAUUCAAAAAGUCUCUGUGGUCCACUAAUAAAUAUUGGUGAAGUCCAAUAUAUGGAUAUAGAUUAUUAAGUAUAGCGAACAUGGUAGCAAAAAAUUAGACACGUUCAAUAUGAUAAAUUUUACAGAACCAAGCACAUUGAAAUUAUUUUUAAUAUUUAACAACAUCCUAAAAUCAUAUACAAUAAACAUUAUUUAUGACAAAUAGGUUAAAGCAAGAGGGAAAAUUCAGGUUUUUUACAUUAUUCCAGUAUUCAGUGUUCAUUGUUCAGUGGACGGCAAUAUAGAAAAGUACUCAGCAAAAUGAUCAUUGAUUUAGGUUACCUCUGACCACUAGUACCACUAAAAUCUUCACUACACAAGGGGAUAGAGGAUGAAGAUAGUUCCAGGGAAAAAGUUCACUUUCACCUCCAUUAAGUGAAUAUUCAGGCUAACACUAUUUUGGAGUUUUAUUUUCCCACUUCAACGUUCCAGUUCAUUUUAUAUUUUUUUUCUUCAUAGUAUUUGUUAGCAUUCUUUUAAUGGAAACUAAUAGCAGUGCUGAGGAAUCUGCUCCGAAUAUUUUUUUCUUUUAGUGUAAUGCUCAUAAAUUUACCUUAAUGUAGCCUCUUUAAAAAUGUAUUACUUUACAGUGGGAAAACCUAACAGACCCUACCUCAGCCAGGUGCUGAAGUUCAGUAUCGACAAUAAGUCAUGAUGAUGGUAUAUACCUUUGAUACCAUGUGAUAUGAAUGGCACCUCUGCGGUCUUCCUUCCAGAAAUCAGUAACACCUGUCCAAUCAUGGGGAAAACCUCAGACACAUUCCAGUUGAGGGACAUCUUACAAAACAGUAGACCAGUACUACUCAAUACUGCCAACAUCAUCAAACACAAAGGAGCGUUUGAGAAAAUGUCACAGCCAAGAGGAUGCGUGAUGACUAAAUGGAAUCUGCUAUUUUGAACAGAAUCCUGGACGGAAAAAAGGCAUAAGGUAAAAGCUAUGGAACUCAAAAGUCUGGACUUAAUAAUGCAUCAAUAUUGAUUCAUUAAUCGUGACAACUGUCUCAUGGGCGUGUGGUAUAUAGAAUCUAUCUGUACUAUCUUUAUAAUUUUUUUCUGUAAAUCUAAAACUAUUCUAAAAAGGUUUAAUGAAAAUUUUAUGAACACACAGCCACCUUUUAUUUUUGUAUUUUCAUAAUAAAAUUACUUUAAAAAUCUUACUACCUGAAUAUUAAAAAGAAUGCUUU
rnacentral:lncRNA from 1 species